rnacentral:rRNA from 1 species
ACUCAAAGGAAUUGACGGGGGCCCGCACAAGCGGCGGAGCAUGUGGCUUAAUUCGAAGCGACGCGAAGAACCUUACCUGGGCUUGACAUGCAGGGAAAAGCCGUAGAGAUACGGUGUCCUUCGGGGCCUUGCACAGGUGGUGCAUGGCUGUCGUCAGCUCGUGUCGUGAGAUGUUGGGUUAAGUCCCGCAACGAGCGCAACCCUUGUCCUAUGUUGCCAGCGGGUAAUGCCGGGGACUCGUAGGAGACUGCCGGGGUCAACUCGGAGGAAGGUGGGGACGACGUCAAGUCAUCAUGCCCCUUACGUCCAGGGCUGCACACAUGCUACAAUGGCCGGCACAGAGGGAUGCGAUUCUGCGAAGAUGAGCGAAUCCCAAAAAACCGGUCUCAGUUCGGAUCGCAGUCUGCAACUCGACUGCGUGAAGUCGGAGUCGCUAGUAAUCCCGGAUCAGCAACGCCGGGGUGAAUACGUUCCCGGGCCUUGUACACACCGCCCGU